rnacentral:lncRNA from 10 species
AGCUAUGAAGCCUCAAAACAUCACGAGAUAAGCAUGAUGGUCUCAGACUUGGGAAAACUGCCUAAUAUUAUGCUGUAGUGGAAUUAUGUUUAGAUUUGAAUUCAUCUGUGAAGCAUUCAAAUCAAAGCUAAAAGCCUAAAUGUGAAAUGCUAAUGACAAGCCUGAGAAGAAAACAGGUGACAUUUGUAUCUACGAUAAAAAUUUUUAUACAGAACCUACUGCCUCAAACUGAAUCCCAUCAAGAAAACUAGUUUCUAUUGUAUUAGUAACUCAAAAUAAAUUAUCACUUCGAAAACUUGCUUUCCCACACUAAGUUUCAGCCCACUUGAAGUUUUGUGCCAGCCUUCUUACCUAAUUAAACAACACUUCAGCAGCGUGGUUGCUAAUGCCAGGUAACCACCAUGUGUUAUGUUAGCCUGCUUGGAUCAAUUGUAAUUAUUACUGGAAUUGAAUUAAUUAAUAUGAUUUUGAACAGUUCAUGUUCAAACUAACAUCCUGUAAAGUAGACACUGCAAGGAGUUACUGAUGAAAGAAAAGUUGUUCAUAAAAGAAGCCUCCUUUU